CAGAAAGAAGGCAUAGACUUCAACGAAAUAUUUUCUCCUGUGGUUCGACUCACAACAGUUCGAGUAGUCUUGGCGAUGUGUGCUACAUUUGACUUACACUUGGAGCAGUUAGAUGUGAAAACUGCAUUUCUUCAUGGAGAACUUGAAGAAGAGAUUUAUAUGCUCCAACCAGAAGGUUUUAAAGAAAUAGGAAAAGAGAACUUGGUUUGCAGGUUGAACAAAUCUCUGUACGAUCUCAAACAGGCGCCGAGAUGUUGGUAUAAGAGAUUUGAUUCCUUCAUUAUGAGCCUUGAAUACAACAGACUCUGUUCAGAUCCGUGUGCAUACUACAUGAGAUUUGGUGAUAAUGAUUUCAUUAUCUUGCUGUUGUAUGUUGACGACAUGUUGGUAGCAGGCCCCAACAAAGAUCGUAUUGAAAACCUGAAGGCUCAAUUGGCUAGGGAGUUUGAUAUGAAGGACUUGGGACCGGCAAACAAGAUUCUAGGGAUUCAAAUUUACCGAGAUAGAAAUAAUAGAAAGAUUUGGCUUAGUCAGAAAAACUACUUGAAGAAAAUCUUGCGUUGCUUCAAUAUGCAAGAUUGUAAGCCAAUUUCUACCCCACUUUCUAUUAAUUUCAAGUUAUCCUCAAGUAUGAGUCCUAGCAAUGAAGCAGAGAGGAUGGAGAUGUCUCGAGUACCGUAUGCAUCAGCAGUGGGUAGUUUGAUGUUUGCUAUGAUUUGUACAAGACCAACAACAAUUAAUCUCUCUUGUAAUAUGAGAAUACAAGGAGGUAAUACUUAGGAUAAACUAAUAUUUUUUUCUCUCUCUACUCCCAAUCUUCUCUCUACUCUCUAAUUCCUCUCAAAUUGCUUGCAUUCUCUCUCCCCACAUCUACCUCUAUUUAUAGAAAUUGUUAACCUCCUUAAUGGAAGUAUCUACAUGAAAACAAGAAGAAUUUCAAUAGAAAUUUUCUUCUUAAAUAGUCAAAUAUGGUGGCUAGGAGAGUUUCACUUCAAUUUUGCCACUUCCAAGUUGUGAUUGGUGGAAAGCACCGGUUAUAUCCCUAGGAGGUGCAAGAUACUUUGUAUCUUUUAUUGAUGAUUACUCCAGGAGAUGUUUGGUGUAUCCAAUCAAAAGGAAGGCAGACGUUUUCGUAGUCUUCAAAAUAUUCAAAGCGCGUGUGGAACUUGAAUCUGAAAAGAAGAUCAAGUGUCUAAGGACUGACAAUGGAGGAGAAUAUACUGGUGAUGAAUUUGAUAACUUCUGUCAACAAGAAGGUAUCAAGAGGCAGUUCACUGUGGCAUACACUCCACAGCAAAAUGGAGUGGCAGAGCGGAUGAACAGAACAUUGUUAGAAAGAACAAGGGCAAUGUUGAGAACUGCGGGGUUAGCCAAGUCAUUUUGGGCAGAAGCAGUCAAAACUGCCUGUUAUGUAAUCAAUCGGUCGCCAUCAACCGCAAUUGAUUUGAAAACGCCUAUGGAAAUGUGGACUGGUAAACCAGUUGAUUAUUCUCACUUACAUGUGUUUGGAAGUCCUGUGUACGUUAUGUACAACACCCAAGAAACAUCAAAAUUAGAUCCAAAAUCCAGAAAAUGUAUUUUCUUAGGGUAUGCUGAUGGAGUGAAGGGGUACCGCCUGUGGGAUCCCACUGCCCACAAGGUGAUAAUCAGCAGAGAUGUCAUAUUUGCGGAAGGCAAAAUGCAGGAAAAAGAAAAUGAUAGCACUUCAAAAGAAAAAUCAGAGACUACUACAGUCGAAGUUGGAGACGAACGAGAAGUUAUAGAUACUUCUGAAGCAACACUAGAGCACGAAGAACAAGCUGAAUCUAGUGCUCCAAAUGUUCGACGAUCAACUCGGGAGAGAAAAGAACCGGCUUGGCACUCAGAUUAUAUUAUGGAGGGCAAUGUUACAUACUGCUUACUGACAGAAGAUGGAGAGCCAUCAACUUUCCAUGAUGCUAUAAAUAGUCAAGAAGUUUCUCUGUGGAUGGCAGCAAUGCAAGAGAAAUUGAAGCUCUUCAAAAGAACAAGACAUGGGAUCUUGUUCCACUACCACAAGGAAGGAAGGCCAUUGGAAAUAAAUGGGUCUACAAGAUCAAACGAGAUGGCAAUGACCAAGUGGAGCGGUAUCGUACGAGACUGGUGGUGAAGGGAUAUGCUCAAAAAGAAGGCAUAGACUUCAACGAAAUAUUUUCUCCUGUGGUUCGACUCACAACAGUUCGAGUAGUCUUGGCGAUGUGUGCUACAUUUGACUUACACCUGGAGCAGUUAGAUGUGAAAACUGCAUUUCUUCAUGGAGAACUUGAAGAAGAGAUUUAUAUGCUCCAACCAGAAGGUUUUAAAGAAAUAGGAAAAGAGAACUUGGUUUGCAGGUUGAACAAAUCUCUGUACGAUCUCAAACAGGCGCCGAG
rnacentral:lncRNA from 1 species